rnacentral:rRNA from 1 species
GGCAGCCGCGGUAAUUCCAGCUCCAAUAGCGUAUAUUAAAGUUGUUGCAGUUAAAAAGCUCGUAGUUGAAUUUCGGGGUUAGUAGGUUGGUCAUGCCACUGGUAUGUACUGAUCUUACUGAUUCCUCCUUCCUGAUGAACCGUAAUGCCAUUAAUUUGGUGUUGCGGGGAGACUGGACUGUUACUUUGAAAAAAUUAGAGUGUUUAAAGCAGGCUAACGCUUGAAUACAUUAGCAUGGAAUAAUGAAAUAGGACGUUCGAUCCUAUUUUGUUGGUUUCUAGGAUUGACGUUAAUGAUUAAUAGGGAUAGUUGGGGGCAUUAGUAUUCAAUUGUCAGAGGUGAAAUUCUUGGAUUUAUUGAAGACUAACUACUACGAAAGCAAUUUGACCAAGGAUGUUUUACAUUAAUCUAAGAACGAAAGUUAGGGGAUCGAAGACGAUACAGAUACCGUCGUAGUCGUUAACCAUAAACUAUCGCCGUAUAGGGAUCGGGAAUG